rnacentral:rRNA from 1 species
UACGAAGGGGGCUAGCGUUGCUCGGAAUCACUGGGCGUAAAGCGCACGUAGGCGGAUAUUUAAGUCGGUGGUGAAAUCCUGGAGCUCAACUCCAGAACUGCCUCCGAUACUGAAUGUCUUCGAGUCCGGGAGAGGUGAGUGGAACUGCGAGUGUAGAGGUGAAAUUCGUAGAUAUUCGCAAGAACACCAGUGGCGAAGGCGGCUCACUGGUCCGGUACUGACGCUGAGGUGCGAAAGCGUGGGGAGCAAACAGG